rnacentral:misc_RNA from 1 species
GAUGAAGAACGAAGCGAAAUGCGAUAAGUAGUGUGAAUUGCAGAAUUCAGUGAAUCAUCGAAUCUUUGAACGCACAUUGCGCCCUUUGGUAUUCCAAAGGGCAUGCCUGUUCGAGCGUCAUUUGUACCCUCAAGCUUUGCUUGGUGUUGGGCGUCUUGUCUCUAGCUUUGCUGGAGACUCGCCUUAAAGUAAUUGGCAGCCGGCCUACUGGUUUCGGAGCGCAGCACAAGUCGCACUCUCUAUCAGCAAAGGUCUAGCAUCCAUUAAGCCUUUUUUUCAACUUUUGACCUCGGAUCAGGUAGGGAUACCCGCUGAACUUAAGCAUAUCAAUAAGCGGAGGA